UCCCUGGUGGCUCAGUGGUAAAAGAAUCUGCCUGCAAUGCAGGAGACCCAGGUUCGAUCCCUCGGUUGGGAA
rnacentral:tRNA from 1 species